rnacentral:rRNA from 1 species
GCUUACGGCCACACCGCCUGGUUCACGUCCGAUCUCGUUUGAUCUCGGAAGCUAAAAUAGGUUGGGCCUGGUUAGUAAUUGCAAGGAGACUGCCUGGGAAUACCAGGUGCUGUAAGCU